rnacentral:rRNA from 1 species
GUGGGGAAUCUUGCGCAAUGGGCGAAAGCCUGACGCAGCCAUGCCGCGUGAAUGAUGAAGGUCUUAGGAUUGUAAAAUUCUUUCACCGGGGACGAUAAUGACGGUACCCGGAGAAGAAGCUCCGGCUAACUUCGUGCCAGCAGCCGCGGUAAUACGAAGGGGGCUAGCGUUGCUCGGAAUUACUGGGCGUAAAGGGCGCGUAGGCGGACAGCUUAGUCAGAGGUGAAAGCCCAGGGCUCAACCUUGGAAUUGCCUUUGAUACUGGCUGUCUUGAGUUUGGGAGAGGUGAGUGGAACUCCGAGUGUAGAGGUGAAAUUCGUAGAUAUUCGGAGGAACACCAGUGGCGAAGGCGGCUCACUGGCUCGAUACUGACGCUGAGGUGCGAAAGCGUGGGGAGCAAACAGGAUUAGAAACCCCAGUAGUCC